rnacentral:rRNA from 1 species
AGAAUCAACGCUGGCGGCGUGCCUAACACAUGCAAGUCGAACGAGAAAGUGGAGCAAUCCAUGAGUACAGUGGCGCACGGGUGAGUAACACGUGUCUAACCUACCCUUGAGUGGGGAAUAACCUGGAGAAAUCUAGGCUAAUACCGCAUAACACCUACGGGUCAAAGGAGCAAUUCGCUUAAGGAGGGGGUCGCGGCAGAUUAGCUAGUUGGCGGGGUAAUGGCCCACCAAGGCAGUGAUCUGUA